AACAGAAUUAAAUUCCAAAUGCUUCAUAAACCCAUUUUCUGGUAAAGGAGACGAUUAUUUUGGAUGAGAAGUACUGCAGGUGGUAAGACAUUUUUGAUCUAUUAUUAUAUUUUUUUUGAAGCAAUAAAUUUAUUUUAAGAAA